CAAGCUUUUAAUUGAAGAGUUUGAUCAUGGCUCAGAUUGAACGCUGGCGGCAGGCCUAACACAUGCAAGUCGAGC
rnacentral:rRNA from 1 species